ensembl:misc_RNA Metazoa_SRP Metazoan signal recognition particle RNA
GCCGGGCGUGGUGGUGUGUGCCUGUAGUCCCAGCUAUUCAGGAGGCUGAGGGUAGAGGAGCUCUUGAUUCAAGGAGUUCUGGGCUGUAGUGCGCUGUGCCCAGCAGGUGUCCACACUCAGUUCGGCAUCAAUAUGGUGAACUCUGGGGAGCAGGGGACCACCCGGUUGCCUAAGGAGGGGUGAACCGGCCCAGGUCAGAAACGGAGCAGGUCAAAACUCCUGUGCUGAUCAGUAGUGGGAUAGUGCCUGUGAAUAGGCACUGCACUCCAGCCUGGGUAACAUAGUGAGACCCCGUCUCUA